rnacentral:rRNA from 1 species
AGUGAACGCUGGCGGUAGGCCUAACACAUGCAAGUCGAACGGCAGCACAGUAAGAGCUUGCUCUUACGGGUGGCGAGUGGCGGACGGGUGAGGAAUACAUCGGAAUCUACUUUUUCGUGGGGGAUAACGUAGGGAAACUUACGCUACUACCGCAUACGACCUACGGGUGAAAGCAGGGGAUCUUCGGACCUUUCGCGAUUGAAUGAGCCGAUGUCGGAUUAGCUAGUUGGCGGGGUAAAGGCCCACCAAGGCGACGAUCCGUAGCUGGUCUGAGAGGAUGAUCAGCCACACUGGAACUGAGACACGGUCCAGACUCCUACGGGAGGCAGCAGUGGGGAAUAUUGGACAAUGGGCGCAAGCCUGAUCCAGCCAUACCGCGUGGGUGAAGAAGGCCUUCGGGUUGUAAAGCCCUUUUGUUGGGAAAGAAAAGAAGCAGGUUAAUACCCCGCUGUUCUGACGGUACCCAAAGAAUAAGCACCGGCUAACUUCGUG